UUUCUCUACGGCUGGACCUUGAUCAUCUGUACAUCCCAGGGACUCUGCACAUGCUGGCUCUACUGUUUAUUCAGUAUACGGGCUCGCUUAUGGCUCUUUGCAUAAGGGAUGAAGGAAGAGCUGAAAAGUUGUGUUUAGCUUUGGCAGCAGGAUGUCCUCAUUCUGAGGACCCUAUCAGAGUCACUGCUGGAAGCCUCAGCUGCAGGUGGCAUUUGACUCCUUGUCUUUGGGCCAAAGGACCUCUCUGCCAGACAGGGCAAAUUUAAGCAAGUCCUUGUGUCUCUGCUGCCCAUGAAAUGGAGCUAUCAAGACCUGCCACAUACGUUAUUUGUAGUAAAUGAACUAAUGAGGUGAGAUAGUGUUUGAAAUGAAAUAACUGUCAAAAUAUGUGAAUAUCUAGAAUAUCUUCUUUCUGCAUGUGAAUGGUGCAGCUUAAUUGAAAGAAUUGGAAUUAUCUAGUAUGUGAAA